GACGAACGCUGGCGGCGUGCUUAACACAUGCAAGUCGAACGGAAAGGCCCGGCUCUUGUGGGGUGCUCGAGUGGCGAACGGGUGAGUAACACGCGAGUAACCUGCCCUUGACUUUGGGAUAACUUCAGGAAACUGGGGCUAAUAUCGGAUAGGAGCUCUUGCUGCACGGGGGGGGUUGGAAAGUUUCGGCCGUUGGGGAUGGUCUCGCGGCUUAUCAGCUUGUUUGGGGGGUAGUGGCUUACCAAGGCUUUGAAGGGUAGCCGGCCUGAGAGGGUGACCGGCCACAAUGGGACUGAGGUACGGAGCAGUAGGCUACGGGAGGCAGCGGUGGGGAACAUUGCAGAGUGGGGGGAAGCCUGAUGCAGCAACGUCGCGAGCGGGAUGACGGCUUUCGAGUUGUAAACAGCUUUGGAAGGUGACGUGGCGGGAGUGACGGUAAUGGGUAAGGAAGCACCGGCUAACUACGUG
rnacentral:rRNA from 1 species